rnacentral:rRNA from 1 species
UCGGGAAUUUUGGGCAAUGGGCGAAAGCCUGACCCAGCAACGCCGCGUGAAGGAUGAAGUAUUUCGGUAUGUAAACUUCGAAAGAAUAGGAAGAAUAAAUGACGGUACUAUUUAUAAGGUCCGGCUAACUACGUGCCAGCAGCCGCGGUAAUACGUAGGGACCAAGCGUUGUUCGGAUUUACUGGGCGUAAGGGGCGCGUAGGCGGCAUGACAAGUCACUUGUGAAAUCUCUGGGCUUAACCCAGAACGGCCAAGUGAUACUGUCGCGCUAGAGUGCAGAAGGGGCAAUCGGAAUUCUUGGUGUAGCGGUGAAAUGCGUAGAUAUCAAGAGGAACACCUGAGGUGAAGACGGGUUGCUGGGCUGACACUGACGCUGAGGCGCGAAAGCCAGGGGAGCAAACGGGAUUAGAUACCCAUGUAGUCCCUGAGCGGGCUGGCAAGGCGCAU